rnacentral:rRNA from 1 species
GAUGAACGCUGGCGGCGUGCCUAAUACAUGCAAGUCGAGCGAACGGACGAGAAGCUUGCUUCUCUGAUGUUAGCGGCGGACGGGUGAGUAACACGUGGAUAACCUACUUAUAAUACUGGGAUAACUUCGGGAAACCGUAGCUAAUACCGGAUAAUAUUUUGAACCGCAUGGUUCAAAAGUGAAAGACGGUCUUGCUGUCACUUAUAGAUGGAUCCGCGCUGCAUUAGCUAGUUGGUAAGGUAACGGCUUACCAAGGCAACGAUGCAUAGCCGACCUGAGAGGGUGAUCGGCCACACUGGAACUGAGACACGGUCCAGACUCCUACGGGAGGCAGCAGUAGGGAAUCUUCCGCAAUGGGCGAAAGCCUGACGCAGCAACGCCGCGUGAGUGAUGAAGGUCUUCGGAUCGUAAAGCUCUGUUAUUAGGGAAGAACAUAUGUGUAAGUAACUGUGCACAUCUUGACGGUACCUAAUCAGAAAGCCACGGCUAACUACGUG